rnacentral:rRNA from 1 species
GUUAUUCGGAAUCACGGGGCUUAAAGCGCGUGUAGGCGGGCAGGCACGUCGGUCGCUGAAAUCCCCCGGCUCAACCGGGGAAGUGGCGCCGAUACGACCUUCCUGGAGGGACGUAGGGGGACCUGGAACUUCCGGUGGAGCGGUGAAAUGCGUUGAGAUCGGAAGGAACGCCCGUGGCGAAAGCGAGGUCCUGGACGUUUUCUGACGCUGAGACGCGAAAGCCAGGGGAGCAAACGGG